CUAGAGAUUACUAUUAAUAGAAGUCUGGGCUCUUCUACACCCACAGCUGAGUCUCCCCCAGACUCCUGUCAGCAGGACUACUCGGGGGAAGGGGCUGGAGACAUGGGUGGGUGGUGGGAGAGUAGAAGCACAACUGAGUCCAGAGGUAGGCAAAAUAUGCCCAUGCAAAUGCAUGCCAGAGCCAAGCAAAGAUGUUUGUUACUAUAUCCUAUUUUAUUUUAUUUACGUAUUUAUUUAUUUUUAUGUAUUUAUU
rnacentral:lncRNA from 1 species